rnacentral:rRNA from 1 species
CCUACGGGAGGCAGCAGUGGGGAAUUUUGCGCAAUGCUCGAAAGCGUGACGCAGCGACGCCGCGUGAAUGACGAAGGCCUUCGGGUCGUAAAGUCCUUUUGACAGGGAAGAAAAUGCCUAUAAGUAACUGUGUAUGUAUUGACGGUACCUGUAUAAGCAGUCACGGCUAACUCCGUGCCAGCAGCCGCGGUAAUACGGAGGGGGCGAGCGUUGUUCGGAGUGACUGGGCGUAAAGAGCACGUAGGCGGUGUUGUAAGUCAUUAGUCAAAGACUAGAGCUCAACUUUAGUAAGGCUAGUGAUACUAUAAUACUAGAGUAUCAGAGAGGAUUGCAGAAUUCCUGGUGUAGCGGUGAAAUGCGUAGAUAUCAGGAGGAAUACCGUUAGCGAAGGCGGCAAUCUGGCUGGAAACUGACGCUGAGGUGCGAAAGCGUGGGUAGCAAACAGGAUUAGAUACCCCUGUAGUC